UGAGGAAUAUUGGGCAAUGGGCGGAAGCCUGACCCAGCAACGCCGCGUGGAGGAAGACGGCCUUCGGGUUGUAAACUUCUUUUUUGGGGGAAGAGCGAGGACGGUACCCCAAGAAUAAGUCACGGCUAACUACGUGCCAGCAGCCGCGGUAAUACGUAGGUGACGAGCGUUAUCCGGAAUUACUGGGCGUAAAGCGCACGCAGGCGGUGCGUUAAGUCUGACGUGAAAUCUCCUGGCUUAACUGGGAGGGGUCGUUGGAGACUGGCGUGCUUGAGGCGGUGAGAGGGGUGUAGAAUUCCCGGUGUAGUGGUGGAAUGCGUAGAUAUCGGGAGGAAUACCAGUGGCGAAAGCGACACCCUGGCACUGGCCUGACGCUCAGGUGCGAAGGCGUGGGGAGCGAACGGG
rnacentral:rRNA from 1 species